rnacentral:rRNA from 1 species
AUUGAACGCUGGCGGCAGGCCUAACACAUGCAAGUCGAACGAGUGGCGGACGGGUGAGUAAUGCAUGGGAAUCUGGCCGAUGGAGGGGGAUAACUACGGGAAACUGUAGCUAAUACCGCAUACUAUAGGAUGAACCCAAGUGGGAUUAGGUAGUUGGGGGGGUAAAGGCUCACCAAGCCGACGAUCUCUAGCUGGUCUGAGAGGAUGACCAGCCACACUGGGACUGAGACACGGCCCAGACUCCUACGGGAGGCAGCAGUGGGGAAUAUUGCGCAAUGGGGGCAACCUGACGCAGUCAUGCCGCGUGUAUGAAGAAGGCCUUCGGGUUGUAAAGUACUUUCGGUAGGGAGGCGUUAACUACAGAAGAAGCACCGGCUAACUCCGUGCCAGCAGCCGCGGUAAUUC